ACGGGGGAGUUUCUGCGGUUCUGUAUGGCAGACGGAGUGAGUUCUGUUUCUUUGUCGGGCCCUGGUGCUGCUGAGGCUGAGAAGCGGCUGCUGUGAGCCCUUUUGCGGUAAGGACCAGCCCAAACAGGUGAGCGGUUCGGGUAGUAAGGGGACGGUGAGCGCUCAGGAGCCGCCAGGAUCUCCGGAGCUGGCGGCUGUCGGACCCCGCUCUUCUCGGGGCCGGCGUUAGGUCGCCGCCGGGCUCCCCCGGCUGUGCGGAGCCGAUACGGCGCCGCCGCCGCCGCCCGGCUGCCGUCGCGUUUUCGGAGGCGGCUGCCGCUCCGAUCCCCGAGUCCUCGCACAGCCCCGGGGUGCUCUCAGCCCCCCUCACCCUCGGGAUUUCUUUCAGCGGGUGCUUCAGUUCUUCAGGCUCUCCUCGGUAGGAGCGAACGCGGUGGGGCCGUAUUCGUGCAGCCUCUGUGCUGCCGGGAGAGAGAAGCGAGGCCAAGGGCUGCUGAAACAAAAGGUUUCUCGUGUUGCAGGCUGAGCGAGGGCUGUAGCAGAGCCUCUCAUCGCUCCGAAGCAGGCAGCUCGUGGAAGCGGGGAGUGUUUGAGAGUCGCUCGGUAAGAUCUCCCCUGCUGGGGCUCCUGUAGGGUUGCUGCCCGACUGCCUCCGUAUCUUUGGGAUCGGCACGGCGCCGCCGCUGGGGGCUCCCGUGUGGCUUUUUAGUAGGACCGGCACGGGGCCUCCGCCCGAGACCGAGCACGAUCCCGGGGUGGCCUCGGCCACUGCGGAGUGUUUUGCGGGUGCUCUCACCCAUCCCGUUUCCAGCGGUGGGAGCGAGCAGGAAAGGCAGACCGGUCAGGCGGUGGAGUCUCUUUUCGAGGGAGAGAACGGGAACGUAUCGAGCUCCACCUAGGGAUGACUGAAGAACCAGCGGAGCGUUUGUGCGUGAGGCUGAAGAGGCAGCUGGAAAUGGUGCCCACAGCUGUGAGGCUAGUUCUCAUGGUAGGCUCCAGGAGUUUCCUGCAAUGUGUCAAAGGUAAGAUCUUCUGACACAGGUGACGAAGGAGGCAUUGAGGAGCUCCCUAUUGCAGAAGAGCCAUCUGGGGACAGGAAGGCCAGGGGCAGCCUGGAGCGUGCCAGUCGUGAGACCACAGCGUUUGGGAUCUUGUGUGGAAGCUGCAAAGCAAUGAGUAGGAUUGAAACACUGGACUUAGAGGGAGCCAGGUUUGUCCUCUUGAAGGGCCUACUUGGAGGUAACCCUUGCUCAAGCAUAGGAAGGGGUCCUGUGAAUGCUGGAGCAUUACUUUGUCCAUGCUGAGGUGCGCUGCGUCCCAAGGAGGAAGGAAGUGCGCAGGAAUGGUGGGGGACCUGCAGGGCUGACUGAGGAACUUGAAGGGGAGAAGGAAGAGAGAGGCUGAGGAAGGCCAAGUCCCUCUGAGUAUCAGCUUUGGGAGGGAGGUCAAGGCUAAUGGAAGUUUGUCAACAGGAGAGACUGGAGAAAUUGCAGGCCUGUGCUUCACAAGGCAAGGGCCUGAGUAAUGGAGGAUGGAGGACAUGCUGGAUGCCUGUUUUGGUUUCAGUGGUUUCUGCUGAGAGUGCUCCUGGGGUCCUGGAGGAGAGAGUCUCAGAGGAAGGCUGCCUUCCCCUCAGUUGCAGAGGAGCUGGUCAAAAGUGGUUCAGGCAGAAAGGAGGCCAGCAAAUGCCUGAGCUGUAGAGGGCUAUGCCUGUGCCCGCUGAGAGCUGGCAGCGGUGACCGGCAAAUGGCGCUCUCUGUCACUUUUCCCUGCUGUUUCCUGUGGGGAAAGGUACCUGAAGACUGGAGGAUGGCGGAUGCCACCGCAGCCUUCAGAAAGGGUGUGGAGGAUGGCGUGUGCAACUUGGAGGUAGGUUGGCCUCACCUCUGUUCCUGGGGAGGUGACGUAACAGCUUGUUGCAGGUGUCAUUGCCAUGUGACCGGAAGAGAAGGAAUUUGCAAGGAGCAGUCCAGGUGGAUGGACAGAGGGGAAGUCAUGCCGGACCAAAAGGGCGAGGGCUGCAGCGGAGAGCUUUGCCGAGAGGAUUGGCUGGAGCAGGUGUGCGGUUUCCCCAGCAGUGGGAUGAAGGAGGUGAGAGAGGGGGACCCCCAGGCGCGCCCCCUUGGAGGUGGUUUGUGGAGGUCUCCGUGCAGGUUCAGGCCGGAGGCAGGAUCCUGGUGGUGUGAGCGGGGUGCCCCUGUGGAGCAAGGGUGGAAGGUGCGUGGCAGGCCCUGUCCCGGAGGAGUGGAGUUGAUGGAGCGUGGCCCUUUGAUGCUGGAGUGAGGGGUCCUGGUGGGGCUGAAGUCCUGCGUGGAAGAGGGAGAUCCCAGGCGCUGCGAUGCGGAGGAGGAGCGGAGCCAGCGGUGGCUCCUGUGUGGUGAUGGCUGCUUAGUGGUGGUGUUCCCGGUCCUGGGCUGAAAGGAGGAGGAGGAGAAAGCUUUUAGUGUGUUACUUCAAAGCUCAGAUCACCUACUCCAACAGCACCAUGCCUCAGCCUCACUUCGCUCACCAGCUGAAAUUGCUGAGGAUGUUUCCUGUGUCUGUGUUGUUGCAGCUGAAUUUCUGCAAGGCAGCCUUUCUCAGAUGCGGUAGGGCUUCCCUGGCUUGAGGAUGUAUAUUGUACCUUCGUGUGGAAGUCUGCAGUUAUUAACUUCACUUUUAGUUAGUUAAUGUUCCAGCUGUGCUGCUGUUCAAAUGCAGCCACCUCUACAAGGCAGGAGAGAAAAAGGAGUUAAUUGACUUGAAUACAAAACUACUCUCCUUCUGCCUUUGCUGCUACUGUGUCUCAGUGUGUUAGUAGGUUGACUCAUUAGUGCAAGGAGAUGUCUGCUGGCCUUUAAGCUGUUGCUGCUGGGGCUAACAGGCUCUGCUUUUUUCCCAGUGGGAUGGUGAAGAAGUACACUACUGAGAAGAGAGGAAAAGCUUAACAAGUAUAUGGCUUGUUAGUAAAAUGGCUGCUGUGUGUAGAAUAGGAAUGCAGCCUGUGUUGGAAGGGACCUCCCACUUGUAGCUCUGCCCCGGUCUGCCUGAACUUCAACUGCCAUCUCCAAUGGUAGUGUCCAAAUGCUUCUCCAACUCCCUCAGCCUGGGGCUGUGACUGCUGCCUGGGGAGCUUGCUCUAACCACCCUCUGGUCCAGGGUCUUGUUGUAAUCUCCAAGGUGGCUUAAUACACGCACAUUACCAUGCAUCUAAGUCCCUUGCCCUGGUCAUUUCUAGAAAUACUGAAGUGCGUGUGCCCUGAAAUGAAGCCCCGUGGCCCCUGACGAGUGCUGGUCUGCUGGCCUCUUGCACUCCCCUUUAUUCUAACAAAUGCUUUGAGCCCCUUUUGCAGGGGGCUGAGUCACAGCUUAGCUUUUAGUUUAAGGUUUUAGGAGGAAGGGGUGUUUCAUGGUGUGAGAUUUAGUCCUCAGGCCUGCUUUCCUGACAAGGAUUUUCUUUACCUACUCCCCUGCGUGAUACAUGCUUUGAACCAGGCCAGAGGACAGAUUUCAUGCUUUGGUAACCUGGGCUUCCUCUUCCGCAGUGGGAUGUUGUAGAAACACACAGGCACAGUUUGAUAAAACAGAAAAUAGAGCAGUUACUGAAUCUGUGUCUGAACUAGAAGUUGAUGGCGUAUUCCUCUGGUAGAGGAAUGUGAAAAGAUGGGGCCUGAAGCAGGAGUAAGUUUAUAGCUAAAGCAUAAAGAUCUUUCUCUUGCCCAAAGUUGGGAAUAUUUAACUGCUGCAAGCCCAGUCAUUUCACUGUAUGCAUUUUCUGCCUAGUACCAGUAUGCGUGCCUUCCCACAACCAGAACAGCUGAGCAAGGAGUACUGUUUGCAGCUAUGAAGCCUACAAAAGCCAAAAAACCUCUGUUGAUUCAUAAUGUCUUUCUUGGGCAUGCAUGUUCAGAAGAGAGAUUCCAGCAUGCAUACCCAUCAUUAUAAAGUAUCUUUCCUUAUGAACACCAGUACAGACUCCCUUUCACUGUCUCUUUUAGCUGGAGGCCUGGGCUGUGUGUGUGUGUUCCUCCAUCUGCGAUGAGAAGAAAAGAUUUCCUUUUUUUUAUUUUGUGUUCAAGACAAAUGAUAAAUAAAAACCCUCAUCCUUAACUCA